UGAUCUCGCGGUCCUUGAUCUCGCGGUCCUUGAUCUCGCGGUCCUUGAUCUCGCGGUCCUUGAGUUCGAGCCCCGCGUCGGGCUCUGGGCUGAUGGCUCAGAGCCUGGAGCCUGUUUCCGAUUCUGUGUCUCCCUCUCUCUCUGCCCCUCCCCCAUUCAUGCUUUGUCUCUCUCUGUCUCAAAAAUAAAUAAACGUUAAAAAAAAUUAUAAAAAAAAAAAAGAACUUGGGUAGGAUUUUCAACAUAUGCGUUGCUCCCUGUCAACUCUGAGAAAUAUUCUUGAAAUUUUUAGAAACAAAUUUUAAGAACCAAACAGGUCCUCUCUCCUGCUGCCUCCACCUCCCGACUGCACUACUUCGAGGAAGUACAACUUUAAUCAUCCACUUUAUCGACUAAAUUAUUCAUUUCUAGAGUCAUCGUUUCAACUCCCAAGAGCUCUUUCCUGUUCUAGGAUUGUUCACCAGUGUGUGUGGUUCAGAUUCGGUUCCAUAUGCCAUAUGCCUCUUACACUCUGUAGACAUGAUUGAUUCUAGUGACUGGGGACCUGUUAGGUCUCCUGUCAACUGUCCUCGGGAUAUCCUGACCUCUCUCCGCACACAUUCACCUCAGGAGUGACUUACAUUUUCUUGUCAUUUCUGGUAAUGCCACCUCCCACAGGACAGUGCCAGCAUCGUGUCACCAGGGGCUCACGCUUGUUCUUUAUUUUACAUCUGGAGUCAGCUGACCCUGAGUCACUGGAGGCCUGGAGAUGUACAUGGGAUGAUGGGCUUUAGUUUGAUUUGUGCAGUUUUCCCUGUAUCACCAUCACGGGGCUGGAGGACGAGGCGCACAGGGAUACAGACACCUCAGCAAUGGCACGGGCUCAUGAGCUCUCCUCUCCUGCAAUCCUGUCUCACCCCUGAGCCUGACCGCUGUGGAGUCCAGGGAUGCUCAGAAACCUCAUCCUCUCCCCACUGAUGCCAAGUCUUCUGCUUAGACAUCUCCACCUGGCUUACAGUCCAGACCCCACUCAGGCUUCUCAGUCAGAAUCCACCUGAGAGCAGAGCAGUGGGGGAUGUCCCCUUUCCUUCCACCCCAUGUGAGGCCACAGGACUAAGGAGAGAAGACCCAGCUGUCUUUCUCCUGCUCAGCCAGGCCCUCCUUAGGGUCUCCUUCAGCUCCAGCACCUGGACAGGGACCUGGACACCAGAAGAUGCCCUCAUCCCAGAUGAUGUUCAGUGAGUGAAGUUUUUCCAAAAGCCACACUAACCAACUUGUAUGCUCCCAGAGACAAAUGGCUAAGGAAGAUGUGUGGUAUAUACACAUUCAUAUAAAUAUGUGCUGCCACUUGUGACAACAUGGAUGGACAUUAGGGUAGAAUGUCUGCUAAGGGAAAUAAAUCAGACUGAGAAAGACA
rnacentral:lncRNA from 1 species